CAGAAUGUAGCAGUCUGGCAGUGCUGUUAGCUGGCUGUUGUCUGUGAUGUGUCAGCAGCUGCUAGUUGCACUCCAUGGUGUUUCAUUCAAA
rnacentral:pre_miRNA from 1 species